UCGAUUCGAAGGACUGCCUUCGGGUGGUAAACUGCUUUUGUACGGAACGAAACGGCGAGCUCUAAUACAGUUUGCUAAUGACGGUACCGUAAGAAUAAGCACCGGCUAACUACGUGCCAGCAGCCGCGGUAAUACGUAGGGUGCAAGCGUUAAUCGGAAUUACUGGGCGUAAAGCGUGCGCAGGCGGUUUUGUAAGACAGUCGUGAAAUCCCCGGGCUCAACCUGGGAAUUGCGAUUGUGACUGCAAAGCUGGAGUGCGGCAGAGGGGGAUGGAAUUCCGCGUGUAGCAGUGAAAUGCGUAGAUAUGCGGAGGAACACCGAUGGCGAAGGCAAUCCCCUGGGCCUGCACUGACGCUCAUGCACGAAAGCGUGGGGAGCAAACAGGAUUAGAUACCCUGGUAGUCCACGCCCUAAACGAUGUCAACUGGUUGUUGGGUCUCUUCUGACUCAGUAACGAAGCUAACGCGUGAAGUUGACCGCCUGGGGAGUACGGCCGCAAGGUUGAAACUCAAA
rnacentral:rRNA from 1 species